ACCUUCACUGCGUCACGCACAACGCAAAGGGAACCACUUUCUUUGUUGUUGCGGCUGCCGGCCUGCGUUUCCCUCCACCACUGCUUGUUCUAUACUCGCUUACGUUUCUUCACUUCGAAGAUGAAACCUAGUCCCUAUCCAUGGCAGAGUUCACCGAGAAGAUAACCGAAGAGGAGGCAAUACCGACCAAGAACCUGCCAGAGGUCCUCAUCGCCGACAUACUUUCAAGGCUUCCGGUCAAGUCUCUUCUAAAAUUCCGGUGUGUAUGCAAAACCUGGUGUGCUCUUAUAGCCGAUCCUGCCUUCGUCAAAGAGCACCUCAAUCGAUCCCUUGCAAGCAAUAGCAACCUCAGCCUCAUUUUUAGACGUUGCGCUCUCUUCUCUGUCGAUUUAGAUACUUGCGAACAACGAGCGGCGGUAGAACUUGAUCAUCCGCUCAAGAGCCCACAUUUAGCAACCGAAGUAUUGGGUUCGUGCAACGGUUUACUCUGUAUAUCCAACUCUGACGAAGACAUAUUGCUCUGGAAUCCUUCUAUCAGAAGGCAUCAUAAGCUGCCCAUUACACCUAUAGAGUUUCCAGUCAGAUUCGACUCUCCCCGUCUCAUAGUUUACGGAUUAGGUUAUGAUCCCACCACCGACGAUUACAAGCUGGUUAGGGUUGUGCAGUUUUAUGGUGACAGUGAGUACUCUUGUGAUUCGGAGGUGAAGGUCUACUCACUUAGGACCAAUUCAUGGAGAAGGAUCAGGGACAUGCCAUACCAUCUCAGCUACGAACGUGGAUUUGGGGUUCUGAACAAUUCAUGGAGAAAGAUCAGGGACAUGCCAUACCAUCUCAGCUACAAACGUGGAUAUGGGGUUCUUGCAAAUUAUGCUCUUCAUUGGGUUGCAAUGCGCGAGACAGGACGUGACACUGCCUCCACUUUUAUCGUUUCCUUCGACCUACAAGAUGAAUAUUAUCGAGAGAUUCCACUACCUGACUUUGUGGACGAUGAGUUUCAUAUGACUGUUGGGGUUCUUGGCGGACAACUCUGCUUGCUCUGCAACUUCUUCAGGGUCCGUGUUGAGGUUUGGGUGAUGAAGGAAUAUGGCGUGAGGGAUUCUUGGUUGAAACAGUUCUCCAUUGAACAACCAGAUGUGAUAAGUUCUUUUAUGUUUGUCAGACCAAUUUGCUAUUCAAAGAAUGGGGAUGUUAUACUCGACAAGGAUUCAGAAGCGCCGCUUCUCCUGUAUGAUUCCCUUAGGGAAAGGGUUAGGAAUCUUAGGAUUCGCGGUGCUCCAGAUAGGAUGGAAACAGAGAUCUGUGUUGGGAGUCUCGUUCCACUCAAUGCGAAGGAUGGAACUGAACAACCAGCAAUGAUGAAAAAGCACAGGAAGCAUAAGAAGAGAAGGUUCAUGGAGCAGAGAAUAGGGAGAAACUUCAUUGGAAGUGUAUGAACAUAUCUAGCCUGAGGAAGGAAACUGGAUGAUGGAUUUGUGAUGAAAAUUGUUCCAUUAUAUGAAGGUAUAGGCUCUUGGGUGGUGUAAACUAUGAUCCUCUAAAUGAAUAAGCUGUCAUGUAAUAUAAUUAUACUAAGAUGCCCAGUACACCUAUAGAGUUUCCUGUUAGAUUCAACUUUUGCUGUCUCAUUGUUAAGGGAUACAGUUACGACCCCACAACCAUUGAUUACAAGCUGGUAAGGGUUGUGCAGUUUUAUGGUGACGAUGGCUACUCUUACGAUUUUGCGGUGAAGAAGGUCUACUCACUUAGCACCAAUGAAUGGAGAAGGAUUGUGGACAUGCCAUUUCAUCUUGCUAGAUGGUACCUGACCGCCUCCAGUUUUAUCGUUUCAUCUGACCUUCAAGAUGAGGAGUAUUGAGAGGUGCCACUACCUGACUUUGUGGGCAAUGGGUUUCAUAUGAAUGCCGGGGUUCUUGGAGGACAUCUCUAUGUGAUCUGUAACUUCCCCAGGGUCUGUGCUGAUGUUUGGAUGAUGAAGGAUUAAGGCAUGAGGAAUUCUUGGGAGAAACAGUUCUCCAUCAAACAACUGUCAGCGGGCUGGCUGAUGUUGGAUCUGCGGAGCUGUGGUGAGGAUGAGGAAGAUGGAACAGGAAAAUUAAAAGCAAGGACAUGAAGACACAGGUGCUUCUUGGUGUGAAGCAGCUGUUGUGUGUAUACUCUCAAUUGAUUGGCGAACAAUGAAGCAGCUGUUGUGUGUAUACUCUCAAUUGAUUGCCGAUUCCUGUUCACCGUGGGUGUAGGAAAACUCAGUGCAAAUCUAAGUCUCAUUCAUUUCAGACAAUCUGGUCGUAGGUCCAACUAUGUAACCAAUGAUCCUCCAAAAUCUGUAUCGGUAAGUAAUAGGAGUAGAUUUGGAUGGCAAUCCAUGAGCAAAUAUAGUGGAUUAGUGACUAGUUGGUGACUAGAUUUGAUACCUAUGAAUCUAGAUGGAGUUAAAUUUCUAUAGAUACCACAAUUUCUCAUGCUAA